ensembl:rRNA 5S_rRNA 5S ribosomal RNA
AUCCACUGCCAUAUCACCCCACAGGCCAACACUGCUUACUAAUUGAAGCUAAGCAGGGCUGAGCCAAUUUAGAACCUGAAUGGGAGACCUCAUGGAAAAACUAGGUUGCUGUUGAAA